UGGAAGUACAUCGGGUUGUUGAUAGAUG
rnacentral:piRNA from 1 species